rfam:Ogataea parapolymorpha DL-1 chromosome VII, whole genome shotgun sequence.
GCCGUUCUAGUAUAGUGGUUAGUACUCUUGUUUGUGGCACAAGCGACCCAGGUUCGAUUCCUGGGGACGGCA